GCACCCUCUUCAUUUGCUUCUUCCUCGGGGCUCCUAAUCCGGCAGGACACUGCCGCCCCUCGUGUUUAGUGUCUCCAUCGUCGGUGUCGGCUUUGUCUGGGUUCCAUCAAGCUCGGCGGCGUCUAGGGCUCCCGUCAAGGCCUGCGUCUUUUAGGGUUCCUUCAAGCUCCGUGUCAUCUAGGGUUCGUCAAGUUCAUCAUCUUGAAUGUAAUGGCCCCAAUUCUGCGCGGUUUGUUCCUUUCUGUCUGUGUGUUACUACAAGAUCGAGGCUAUUUAUUGCGUUAGUGUCUGUUCUUGUGUUUGCUAGGGUUUGAUGAACAUGGUCUUGUACAGGGCAGUUCUGAUUUGGUGAAUCUGAGUCUAGACUAGGGGGUUGUCUUCAGAGAUUAGAUUUCAGGGUAUGAUGCGGCAUGAUGAUAUGGUGUUGUGUGUUCGUAUGCUUUGCUUUCUGAUUCUUGUUUCUAUUUUUGUUGAUGAUGAUAUGGGGGUUGUGUAUCUCAAUGGAGAAGUUCUUAUCGCUUGUUUUACAUGUUCUUUUUAGUUUUUGUAAUGUGUAGCAGCAUUAUGGACUAGUUCAGUUGGCUUGUUAGGAUGUAUUUUCCUUAGAAGCAAGCACCUGUCAACAUAUUUAACCAACUAAAAUUACUUAAUUUUUCGUAUGUUGGUUUGAUCAGUACUAGUUCUCUGUGUCUGUUGUGGCUGGGUGUCGUCAGUGGAUCUUCUUCUGUUUAGUUGUUAAUUAAGAAAAAUAAAGUCGUUUGCUAGACUAGACACUAGGGGACAGAAGAUAGCAAUCAACAUGCAAAACCAGUGCGAUGCAAAUUUGUGAACAGAACUUGAUGAACCUGAGUUUAAGGUUUCAACGCCACCCCACCAAGUGGGUGCACAAAUAGUUUAUUGGUUUUUGUGUUCUCUGAGUUUCUUGUUUCAGCGCCACCCCACCAAGUGAACUAUUUUUCUUUGUUUAUCUGGGAGUUGUGUGCGAUGUCUAGUACUGGAGCUUCUAUUUGUUCAAGUGGACGCAUCUAUCAUCAGUUGGCAGUUAUCUUCUAUGUAAAUGAAUUAUAAGUGAAGCCCGAUCUUUGCUUAGACAAGUGUGAUAAGUUGGUUGCAUAAUUUACUGUAGCAUCUACCAAAUAACUAUAUAGAUAUAGGUAAUUUGUUCCUACUGCUGCUUACUAUAAUAGCUAGUUUUCUUGUGUCUUUUUUCGUUUUACCCGCGAGUGAUGCUAUAAGGGAAUGACUAGGGAAAGUAUAAAAUGAUUCAAAAAACUCCAUCUCCAGCCAUUGUUGAAUUAAUGUCUGUAGCUUAGAAUUAAAUGGUUCAAAAAACAUUAGCCAUUAUUUUGGUCUGGAAAUCAGCCAACAAGAAUAAUAGUACUUCUGAAAUUGUCUACAUUGUCUCUCAUUUUCUUUCUGGUGCUUAUUCUUGUGUGGAUGUGUUGUAUAAAAGUGAAUAAGCAUUUUUUUAUGGACUAGUGUUAGGUCUGGUGAUUUUUGUUGUAGGUUACAACUAACAAUUACUUAGAUGUUUUUUCAUCAUGUUCAUAUGUGUGCAUUGAUGUUAUUUUGCAACAACUUUAGCACUAGUACUUGUACCUUGAUACUUUAUUGCAUGAUGGAUGACCUUUGUGUUUCUACUCUUUUCACAUAUGUAUGGUUCUGGUGCUAGUUUUGUUUUUUUAGACGAGUGUUCGUUAUUGAAAUGGUAUUAGGUGAUGUGACUGUAGUUUUUGAUAUAGGACGUUAACCCAGUAGUGCAGGAUGAAAGUUGCAAGAUGUGGUACUUAUUAGUUUGAUACUUUCUUGUUAUUCAUUUGCUUGUUUUUUUAAUGUAUUACAUGUUUUUUAACUGUCAUACUUUCUUUGUUGUGACUUAUACACGUACCAAUGAUACUAAGUACUGCUUUUGUUUCCUUGAAUUAAUCUUUGUUUCAACAGCUUACUUUUUUAUUAUUGUACGGUUGUCCCUCAACUGUCAAAAUGCCUAGACUUUACAAAUAUCCUUAGGGUACUAUCAAGCACAGAUUUUCGACCGUUAGGUGGCAUAAGGCAGUUUGUGAUUUAACUGACAAACAGAAGUCGUAUGUUUCCAAAUAUGAGCUCGAUAAUCUCCUGAAUAUUCAUCCUCAUUUGAUGAUUCGAAUUCCAAUUCUGCAAUGGGUUGCAAACCACAUAAACUAUAAUGGACCUGGAGUUUUCAGAAAGGGUCAAAAGAUCAUUCGUCUUAGAAGGGAGAUGGUAAUUCAGGUUUUUGGUAUCCGUUCUGGUUCUGUGCCUUUUCCUCUGGACAACACAGAUGUAGUUGUUGUGGCUAGAGUAUUACAACUUAGGUUUCAGUAUCUUGAUAAUGGUCAGAAGUACAUUCCAGUCGAUAAUAUUAUCACUAUGAUGAAGAAUGACGAGACCGCGGAAGGUUUCAUGUGGAGCUUCAUGUUUCUAUUUUCUGUCCAACCUCUCGGAAUUAUGCAAAUUGGAAAAUUCUUUAUGGCUCCAUGACAUUACUAAGCUGAAGACCUUUGAUUUGGAUCAGCUUUGCAUUGAUCACUUGAACAAGGAAAUUGAUAAUUUCAGCACCAAUCUCUUCAACAAAACUGAAAUUCCGUUGAACAUUUCAAUCUAUGUUGGUGGAUGCUUAUCUUUAGCCGCUAUUGUUUAUCUGGACUUCGUAGACUUCACAAAAGUGAGCAACGAAACAUCAAUUAUGCAGUCCAUAGAAUAGUCCAUGUUCAGAAUGAAGACUUUGACUAUCUAUCUAUAGUGGACUUGAACACAUCAUCAAAGAAGCCGUUUGUAUUGGGAUUCUUACCACUGAGAGACAUCUCCUCGACACCUUACAGUGCUCGUGCAAUCAUAUUGGCUGAGGAAAAGUGGCUGAAUGCCCCACAAACUUACCAUAAUGAGGAAAAUGUCAUUCCAAACUACAGUGACAUCUCAAAUGUUGCAUCUACUUCGAACCAUAAUCCAGAAGCUAUGAACAUAAUAUCUCAAGUUGUUGCAAAGCAUGAUCAAAUUUGGAAGAAGCUUCAUGAACAACAUGUGUAGAGUAUGUUUGCAUAUAUGCAAGCAACUCUGUUGUCUUUACAACCAAAUUCAAACAUGCAAGUCAACAUUGCUGGCACUUCAACCACAAAUCCCAUUAUUCUUCUUUCAGCAGCAAACAACAGGAAUAAUCUCAGUGAACCAGCAGUAAACACCAACAAUCGCCCAGUUGAGGUAAACAAUGAGCCAAUUAGAUGUUCUUUAUUCCAAGAUCAUGUAGGAGUCAGUCCUACUCCUGAUGUUACCUUAAGCCACACCAGCAAGGACAUCCAAGUUCAAAUUCCAACUCGAGUUCUAGAGCAAGUGUCAGUUCCUCAGCAAGUACAGGAAACUGACCGAGCACCUACAACUGUGAACAUUGGGUUUUUUGUGGUAUUAAUGAAGCGAAUUCAGUUGGGAACAAUGGUACCAUCUCUGAGCCAAUUCAGACUCCAUAAUUGGCAUUCCUGGAACCACUGUGUCCUGUUUAUCCUAUAGUAGAUAGUGAGGCAAAUCAGAUAGAUUUUCAGCAUGUCAACAUUGUGCCUGAAAUCCCUCUUUCUGGGAACUCAGUUUAUGUCAGUGAGCAAGUUCAGGUAGUGAAUGAGCUAGAGUCAAGUGUUGUUAAUGUGCUCAAUCAGACCCCAAGUAAAGAAAUGUCUGGUGCUUGUCCCAAUCCUCCUUUCCUAGUUCAGAGCAAUGCUAGUCCUCACAAUCUACCAUCUCCUUCAAGUAACAAUCUGGGCCUCCAACGAUCUGCAUGAAACCUUCCACCUCCCCGUGUCACCGCUCGCAUUGGAAGAAAUACGUGACAUACAGCUAACCUUGACCAAGAUCUGCCCUUCCACAUCGAAUACUAAUAUUUGGCACUACAUAUGGGGCACGGCCACUUUCAGACCUAAGGACUACUAUUCAUAUUUCUUUAGAGAUGCCCGAACCGACCCCAUGUUCAAACACCUGUGGAAAUCAAAAUGUACAAUGAAGUUGAAGGUGUUUGGUUGGCUGCUUUUUCACGACAGACUCAACACACGUAAUAUGUUGAAGCGGAGGCACUUUAACAUUGGAUAUGAUUUUGACUGUCUCCUUUGCGGGCUUCCAAUCGAAGAAACAGUGGACCAUAUGAUCUUCACUUGUGAUUUUAGCAGGACAUGCUGGACCAAACUUGGUAUUCAAUGGACCCCCUUUGGUAACCGUCUCACUGCUCUCAAGUUGAACAGAGACUCCUGGCGUGACCCAUUUUUCAUGGAAAUUUUUCUCACUGCCGGAUGGAGCCUAUGGAAGGAAGGAACAACAAACACUUCCGUGGAGUUGACCCUACUGUUGGGUCCUGGUUUUCAUGCUUCAAAAAUGACCUAGGUCAACUCCAGCAUAGAGUCAAAGAGGCCCAUAGAGGCUUGUUUGUCAAUCUUUGUUCUGCUCUAGGUUGAUAGUUUCUAUCUCUUUUUCUUACCUGACUCCUCCCGUGGAGAGCUGGUAAUUCACCCCUCCCUGGUCUGUGGGGAGGGGGAGUAGAUGGGUAACUGAGUUAGGCACCCUAUAUGUCUAUGUAAACACCCCAUUUAUAUAGAUAUAUAAAAUCACAGUGGGAGUCCUCUCCCACUGUCAAUUCCCUAAAAAACAAUCUAAUUGAAGAUGGUUGUAUUCCAAAGGAAUUGAAUUCACAAAAAACUGAAAACAUGGGUGAUGGCAUUGAAAUCGCCAUGGAGUAUGCUGAUGAUAUUUUGAUGCCACAACUUGACAACUCAGUUCCCAAAGUGGACUAUGAUAAUUUCUACAAUUCUCUGAAGGCAAUAGGAAAGGUUGAUAAUGAAAUAUUCAAUGCCUAUGUCCAAGUUUUCAAUUACGAUAAUGAAAGUCCAGCUCCAAAAACUAAAGAACCUUCAAAGUAUUGCUUUACUUCCUACUUCAAGGAGAAACUGCUUCUAGAUCCCCGAAACUUCAAUUCUAGGUCUUGCCUAAGAGAAUUCAAGAAACUAUACUCGGGGAAGAGCUUACAUAAGCGUGAUCUAGUACACAUUUUUUUAUCAUUCCAUGAAACCAUCAUUUUUGCAUCUUUUUCAUCUAUACUCAUUUUUCUACUUUAAUUGCCAUCCAACUUUACUUCCCCCGAGUUGAUUCCUUCCGUUGGACUUUGUUCUGCAUCAGCAAUCUCUUUGAAACAGUUAAUUUCUUCAAUUCAAGGAGUUAUGUUCCUCAAAAUCAAGUCAACAAGUUAACAUCAAAUCUGGCAAUCAACAUGGGCACCCUUUUGAAGUCUUCUGGAUCCAUAUACAAGAAUGUCGAGAAAUUUGAGUGCAUUUCGCCUGAGAACUACCCCAGCAAAACAACCU